rnacentral:lncRNA from 1 species
AAAAUAGAAUUGAACAAAAUAUUUGUAAAUAGUUAAAAUUAAAUAAAUAAUCGGUAAAAUCGUUUUAUGCUUUGAGGGACCUGAUUUCGAAGCGUCACGGUUUCAUACUUAAAAGUUUAAAGGAAAAUCUCAUGCAUCUCUCAUAUAAAUAAUGAGUACUUCAACUAUUUUAUUUAUUACUGCAAAUAGCAUACGUUUGAAAAUGAGCAGAAGAAGAAAAUCGAAUAUCACCGAUUUUAACGAUGUAAAAGUACAGGGCCC